AACGGGGGGAGCGAGUGUUAUUCAUCAUUACUGGGCGUAAAGGGUGCGUAGGUGGUUAUUUGUUUUUAAAUUAAGCAAUCUAAGCGUAACUUAGAAGUUAAUUUUUAUACUAAAUAACUUGAGGAUUUAAGAAGUUUGUCUUAUUCUUAAAGGAAAAGUGAAAUUUGAAGAUAUUAAGAGGAGGUUCAUUUGGCGAAGGCUACAAACUAUUAUUUUACUGACACUGAGGCACAAAAGCAUGGGUAUCAAACAGG
rnacentral:rRNA from 1 species